CUUUUAAGUGUUCUUUGUUAUACUUAUUAAUUUUCGAUGAUCGACAGUUAAUCAGUGUGUAUGUUUAGUAUAUACCAAACCUAAUGUUUUCUGUGUCAUGAUCGUGAUUUUACUAGUUGUAUUGUCGUUAUGCUUUGGUGUACUUUGUAUAUAGUGCUUGUAUAUGUAGUGCCCAUGAUCUCGAUUUUGUCCCUGACUUUUGACUUGUGAUAAGACGUUCACGUUAUAUGUUUACUGUCCAAACCGAUCUAGAGUAUGUAUCUUUAUCUUCAAGUAUUCGUAGUCAUGGUUAAGAGUAACUAGUUGUUUUAAUAUUCUUGUUGAUGUACAGGGACCUUAAUUGUAUAGAGAAGUAGUGUGUGAUAGUUAUGAAUACUUCAUGUUUGUGUGUGUUAGAGUGUGUGUGCUUGUGUGUUCUAUUUCACCAAGUCUCAUCUUGAAGUCGUUCAAUCCUCGUCGUUCUCCCGCGACCCCUCUUCCACGCCGUUCUUUAUCCUCGUUGUCGUCAAAACUCCUUUCCAUUAUCUUCGGUCGUCAACCAAGUCUCUUCCUCGUCUCCGCACCCCGUUCCCUCAUCGUCGUCCGCUACCUCUUCCUCGUUGUCAUACCACCGAGAUCCCUCUCUCCUCGUCGUCAAACCCUUACCUCGUCGUCGAACUCCAGGGCCUCUUCUUCGUCGUCUCUAGCUCUCUUCUCCGUCGUCAUCAAAGUCUCUUCUCCUCUUCGUCGAACCCGCGUUCUUUCCGUCGUUGUAGUUGCACUUCCCUUCUGCGCCGUCCCCCUUUCCUCUUCUUCUAGUCGUCGUGCCCCCGCGAGUGCGCCUUCUGGUCUGCGGGUACUGGGAGAACAGACCAGCCCGCACGCUCCACGUCGCUACCGACCUCUACCACCUCUACCACCUACCUAAACCACGCCACCUCGAUCACCUCCGCACCCCUCCUCGACUACCGCGACCGCCCACACGACCCACCGCGCCACCACGACCACUACCGCGCCACCGCGCUGCGGUACGGCCGGACCGGCGCCGCCGCCGGCCUCCACCUCUUCUUUCCCUAGCCCCCUCUCUCUACUCUACGGUCCGGAUUCCCCUUAACACAUCACUGGAUCCCUAAAACUAGGGGAGUGCCGUCUAAAACUACAAACGUGUACCCGGGAGGAUGAUAGAAGAAGGAAGGGUUCAUCUAGGGGAGAGAAGAUAUCAAUCGGGGAAACCAAUGAAGAACAGUAGUGUGUGUUCGGGAAGAGAGAAGAGCAAUCGGUUUAUCAUCUUUAGAACUGCUAAUAUCACGGAACGCGUGAAAAGGCGUUUUCUUUGUUUACUGUUCAUUUACUAGAAAAUAUACUAAAAGUAAGUUUAUAUAGUGUUGAGUAUCGUUCUUACCUACCUAUAUAGUGCUAUCUACGAUUUAAACUCACGGUUUAAUAUAUAUACUUUACGUGAAUAGUUCAAGGGGGUGUGAAUUUAGAAACGAACACGAGUUCGUUUCCUUAUACUGUUUCCGUUCUAUUACUUGUCAUUUGACUCAUUCCUUACAGGACCAUUUUAUCUAGAGGUUUGUUCCGUACGAAGCCUGAAUCGAUCACUUUUAAUUACCAAUCCGCACGAUGUUUCAUCAUCCUAUGAUCAUUCGUACUGGUAAAAUUUGAAAAUGUCUCUAUUUUCUCCUAGUUGUUCAAAUUUACUACUGACGCGGUUUACCAAGGAUUUCUCUCGUACUAGGGUUCUUGUUUUACUUGACCUUAAUUUAGAACACUAGUUUAGUGAAUAAAUGUCUCUAUUUCGUUACUAAUAUAAUAAUAAUCAGAGUGGUAUCCUUGUAUGGUGGCUAGGGCUCUUGUACCAUAUGUGGACCGAGCUGGUUAAUAAUCAAAAAAAACAAGCAGAGGGGUUUCCUUGUAUGGUGGCUAGGGCUCUUGUACCAUAUGUGGACCAAGCUGUUAAUGUAAAAAAUAAUAAUUAAUGACGGGUUCGAUUGGGCUAAAGUGUACGGUGGCUAGGGCCCUUGUACUGUACGAUGACAUCCAUCAGUUUGAAUAAAUAAGUAAUAAUGAAUAGAAUUUACUUGUUGUGUAUUCGUGUUUUUAUCCUUAGUAGUGAAGAGGUACAGACCAAGUGUUCGAUGGCUAGGUCCCUUGUAUCGUACGAUUAGGUAUCACCAAUCCACAAACGAGAGUUACCCUUGUGUGAAUCGUGUUUAAGUUGUAGAUUUGCACCACUAGAUCCACAUAGCUCCAUUUUCGUCUUUUACUAAUUCAAAAGAUCAUAUGAUCCCUAAACUCGUGAGUUUUGAUUAUUGAAGGUGAUGAAAGUCGUUUCGUUCGUAACAUAUCUAGUGAUCAAAUGGUCCGUAAGUUGUGAGUCAAGUGUAUAAGAGUAGUUCGUGGUAUACAGUUCAUUUUAAGUCACCCCGUUGUAAAUUCUGUACCGAAUUCGUUGGGUUUAUUGUAAACUAAAGUCGUACAUAGUUACCUACUAUAUGAUCCUUACCCAGUACUUUGU
rnacentral:rRNA from 1 species